rnacentral:lncRNA from 1 species
GGACGGGCCUGCUUCAACAAUUUUUAGUCAGUGUGUUCCUGUCCCCUAAAUACCUCAAAUCUAUAUCGUGGCUAAAAUCUACAUAGCACACUAUCGUCAGUAUUCAGGAGUAAAAUUGGUAUUUGGUUCUUAUAGAUUGAAACAAUUCAUU